rnacentral:rRNA from 1 species
AUUGAACGCUGGCGGCAGGCCUAACACAUGCAAGUCGAGCGGAUGAAGGGAGCUUGCUCCUGGAUUCAGCGGCGGACGGGUGAGUAAUGCCUAGGAAUCUGCCUGGUAGUGGGGGAUAACGUCCGGAAACGGGCGCUAAUACCGCAUACGUCCUGAGGGAGAAAGUGGGGGAUCUUCGGACCUCACGCUAUCAGAUGAGCCUAGGUCGGAUUAGCUAGUUGGUGGGGUAAAGGCCUACCAAGGCGACGAUCCGUAACUGGUCUGAGAGGAUGAUCAGUCACACUGGAACUGAGACACGGUCCAGACUCCUACGGGAGGCAGCAGUGGGGAAUAUUGGACAAUGGGCGAAAGCCUGGUCCAGCCAUGCCGCGUGUGUGAAGAAGGUCUUCGGAUUGUAAAGCACUUUAAGUUGGGAGGAAGGGCAGUAAGUUAAUACCUUGCUGUUUCGACGUUACCAACAGAAUAAGCACCGGCUAACUUCGUG